rnacentral:rRNA from 1 species
GACGAACGCUGGCGGCGCGCCUAACACAUGCAAGUCGAGCGAUGAAAGUUGUUCAGAUCCUUCGGGUGACGAACUUCUGGAUUAGCGGCGAACGGGUGAGUAACGCGUGAGGAACCUGCCUCUCACAACGGGAUAGCCUCGGGAAACCGGGAUUAAUACCGUAUGACACUAUCAGAUGGCAUCAUCAGGUAGUUAAAGUGCUAGCGGUGAGAGAUGGCCUCGCGUCUGAUUAGUUAGUUGGUGGGGUAACGGCCUACCAAGACGACGAUCAGUAACCGGCCUGAGAGGGUGAACGGUCACAUUGGAACUGAGACACGGUCCAAACUCCUACGGGAGGCAGCAGUGGGGAAUCUUGCACAAUGGGGGAAACCCUGAUGCAGCGACGCCGCGUGAGCGAUGAAGGUUUUCGAAUCGUAAAGCUCUGUCCUAUGGGAAGAUAAUGACGGUACCAUAGGAGGAAGCCCCGGCUAACUACGUGCCAGCAGCCGCGGUAAUACGUAGGGGGCGAGCGUUGCCCGGAAUUACUGGGCGUAAAGGGUUCGCAGGCGGCAUGACAAGUCCGAUGUAAAAGGCGAAAGCUCAACUUUCGUAAGCAUCGGAAACUGUCAAGCUUGAGUGAAGGAGAGGCAAGUGGAAUUCCUAGUGUAGCGGUGGAAUGCGUAGAUAUUAGGAGGAAUACCGGUGGCGAAGGCGACUUGCUGGACUUCAACUGACGCUGACGAACGAAAGCGUGGGUAGCAAACAGGAUUAGAUACCCUGGUAGUCCACGCCGUAAACGAUGAGUGCUAGGUGUCGGGGGUCAAACCUCGGUGCCGUCGUUAACACACUAAGCACUCCGCCUGGGGAGUACGUGCGCAAGCAUGAAACUCAAAGGAAUUGACGGGGACCCGCACAAGCAGCGGAGCAUGUGGUUUAAUUCGAAGCAACGCGAAGAACCUUACCAGGACUUGAAAUACUAGCGCCCACUUUAGAGAUAAAGUUUUUUCUUCGGAAACGCUAAUACAGGUGGUGCAUGGUUGUCGUCAGCUCGUGUCGUGAGAUGUUCAGUUAAGUCUGGCAACGAGCGCAACCCCUAUCUUUAGUUACCAGCAUUUCGGAUGGGGACUCUAAAGAGACUGCCGAUGAUAAAUCGGAGGAAGGUGGGGAUGACGUCAAAUCAUCAUGCCCUAUAUGCCCUGGGCUACACACGUGCUACAAUGGAAGAUACAAAGGGAAGCGAGAUAGUGAUAUUAAGCCAACCUCAAAAAGUCUUUCUCAGUUCGGAUUGUACUCUGCAACUCGAGUACAUGAAGAUGGAGUUGCUAGUAAUCGCAGAUCAGCAUGCUGCGGUGAAUGCGUUCCCGGGUCU